GUAGGUGGCAAGCGUUGUCCGGAAUUAUUGGGCGUAAAGCGCGCGCAGGCGGUUCUUUAAGUCUGAUGUGAAAGCCCACGGCUCAACCGUGGAGGGUCAUUGGAAACUGGAGAACUUGAGUACAGAAGAGGAAAGCGGAAUUCCACGUGUAGCGGUGAAAUGCGUAGAGAUGUGGAGGAACACCAGUGGCGAAGGCGGCUUUCUGGUCUGUAACUGACGCUGAGGCGCGAAAGCGUGGGGGGAGCAAACAGGAUUAGAUACCUGGUAGUCCACGCCGUAAACGAUGAGUGCUAAGUGUUAGGGGGUUUCCGCCCCUUAGUGCUGCAGCUAACGCAUUAAGCACUCCGCCUGGGAGUACGGCCGCAAGGCUG
rnacentral:rRNA from 1 species